AUUGAACGCUGGCGGCAGGCCUAACACAUGCAAGUCGAACGGUAACAGGAUGAAACUUUCUUCUUUGCUGACGCGUGUCGGGGGGGUGAGUAAUGUCCGGGAAACUCUACUAUGGCGGGGGGUAACACGUGGAGACGGUAACUAUUAUCGCAUAUAGUCGCAAGGCGAGAGAGCGGGGGAUCUUCGCACCUUGCGCGAUGGAGUGACCCGAUGGGAUUAGCUAGUAGGUGGGGUAACGGCGCACCUAGGCGACGAUCCCUAGCUGGUCUGAGAGGAUGAUCAGCCACACUGGAACUGAGACACGGUCCAGACUCCUACGGGAGGCAGCAGUGGGGAAUAUUGCACAAUGGGCGCAAGCCUGAUGCAGCCAUGCCGCGUGUAUGAAGAAGGCCUUCGGGUUGUAAAGUACUUUCAUCGGGGAGGAAGAGAGUAAAGUUAAUACCUUGACUUAUUGACGGUACCCGAAGAAGAAGCACCGGCUAACUCCGUG
rnacentral:rRNA from 1 species